rfam:Afipia broomeae ATCC 49717 genomic scaffold supercont1.3, whole genome shotgun sequence.
CAGGAACAACGGUUGGGGCACAAACCCGGCAAUGCCCCGUCCGUCGGAGGGCCCCAGCGCAAGCUGGGGCCCUUACUUUUUG